UACAGAGGUCUCGAGCGUUAGGCGGAAUCACUGGGCUUAAAGCGUGUGUAGGCGGACUUCUAAGUACCUUGUGAAAUCCCACGGCUUAACCGUGGAACUGCUUGGUAUACUGGUUGUCUUGGGCCAUCUAGGGGCUACUGGAACAAACGGUGGAGCGGUGAAAUGCGUAGAGAUCAUGAGGAAGACCAGUGGCGAAGGCGGGUCUCUGGACAGUUCCUGACACUGAGGCACGAAGGCCAGGGGAGCAAACGGG
rnacentral:rRNA from 1 species